AGAGUUUGAUCGUGGCUCAGAUUGAACGCUGGCGGCAGGCCUAACACAUGCAAGUCGAGCGGAUGAGAGGAGCUUGCUCCUUGAUUUAGCGGCGGACGGGUGAGUAAUGCCUAGGAAUCUGCCUGGUGGUGGGGGAUAACGUUCCGAAAGGAACGCUAAUACCGCAUACGUCCUACGGGAGAAAGCGGGGGAUCUUCGGACCUCGCGCCAUUAGAUGAGCCUAGGUCGGAUUAGCUAGUUGGUGAGGUAAAGGCUCACCAAGGCGACGAUCCGUAACUGGUCUGAGAGGAUGAUCAGUCACACUGGAACUGAGACACGGUCCAGACUCCUACGGGAGGCAGCAGUGGGGAAUAUUGGACAAUGGGCGAAAGCCUGAUCCAGCCAUGCCGCGUGUGUGAAGAAGGUCUUCGGAUUGUAAAGCACUUUAAGUUGGGAGGAAGGGUAUUCACCUAAUACGUGAGUAUUUUGACGUUACCGACAGAAUAAGCACCGGCUAACUUCGUGCCAGCAGCCGCGGUAAUACGAAGGGUGCAAGCGUUAAUCGGAAUUACUGGGCGUAAAGCGCGCGUAGGUGGUUCGUUAAGUUGGAUGUGAAAGCCCCGGGCUCAACCUGGGAACUGCAUCCAAAACUGGCGAGCUAGAGUACGGUAGAGGGUGGUGGAAUUUCCUGUGUAGCGGUGAAAUGCGUAGAUAUAGGAAGGAACACCAGUGGCGAAGGCGACCACCUGGACUGAUACUGACACUGAGGUGCGAAAGCGUGGGGAGCAAACAGGAUUAGAUACCCUGGCAGUCCACGCCGUAAACGAUGUCAACUAGCCGUUGGAAUCCUUGAGAUUUUAGUGGCGCAGCUAAC
rnacentral:rRNA from 1 species